GACGAACGCUGGCGGCGUGCUUAACACAUGCAAGUCGAGCGGUAAGGCCCUUUCGGGGGUACACGAGCGGCGAACGGGUGAGUAACACGUGGGUGACCUGCCCUCAGCUCUGGGAUAAGCCUGGGAAACCGGGUCUAAUACCGGAUAUGACUCCAUGACGCAUGUUGUGGGGUGGAAAGCCUUGUGCGGCUGAGGAUGGGCCCGCGGCCUAUCAGCUUGUUGGUGGGGUGANGGCCUACCAAGGCGACGGACGGGUAGCCGGCCUGAGAGGGCGACCGGCCACAC
rnacentral:rRNA from 1 species